UGGAAGCAUAGUGAUAUGUUAAGCUAACUUGUACUAAUUACCCGUGAGGCUUAACCAUACAACGCCAAACGCGUUU
rnacentral:rRNA from 2 species